UUAGAUCUGGCUCUGUUUUUUGAUUGGUGGUUGUUUGAUGAUGUUUUGGAUUGUUAGAACGUUGAAAUUACUAAUUCAGUAUCUUGUGAAAUCUGAGAUGAUGUGUGUUUUCUGAGUGAAUAAUAUUGGGAUCUGUUUGGUUGUUGUGGGGACAGGUGCAACUUCAUUCCUAUUCACGGAGUACAAAUAUGUUGGUGUCUUCAUGAUUUUCUUUGCUGCUGUUAUCUUUGUUUUCCUCGGCUCUGUUGAGGGAUUCAGCACUGAUAACAAGCCUUGUACUUACGACACCACCAGAACCUGCAAGCCUGCAUUGGCUACUGCAGCUUUCAGUACCAUUGCUUUCGUGCUUGGUGCUGUUACCUCUGUUCUAUCUGGUUUCCUUGGGAUGAAGAUUGCUACAUACGCUAAUGCUAGGACCACUUUGGAGGCGAGGAAAGGUGUUGGAAAGGCGUUCAUUGUU
rnacentral:lncRNA from 1 species